AUGAACGCUGGCGGCGUGCCUAAUACAUGCAAGUCGAGCGGACAGACGAGGAGCUUGCUCCUCUGACGUUAGCGGCGGACGGGUGAGUAACACGUGGAUAACCUACCUAUAAGACUGGGAUAACUUCGGGAAACCGGAGCUAAUACCGGAUAAUAUAUUGAACCGCAUGGUUCAAUAGUGAAAGACGGUUUUGCUGUCACUUAUAGAUGGAUCCGCGCCGCAUUAGCUAGUUGGUAAGGUAACGGCUUACCAAGGCAACGAUGCGUAGCCGACCUGAGAGGGUGAUCGGCCACACUGGAACUGAGACACGGUCCAGACUCCUACGGGAGGCAGCAGUAGGGAAUCUUCCGCAAUGGGCGAAAGCCUGACGGAGCAACGCCGCGUGAGUGAUGAAGGUCUUCGGAUCGUAAAACUCUGUUAUUAGGGGAGAACAAAUGUGUAAGUAACUAUGCACGUCUUGACGGUACCUAAUCAGAAAGCCACGGCUAACUACGUG
rnacentral:rRNA from 1 species